AGUGAGCGAAUCCCAAAAAGUGCGUCGUAGUCCGGAUUGGAGUCUGCAACUCGACUCCAUGAAGUCGGAAUCGCUAGUAAUCGUGGAUCAGAAUGCCACGGUGAAUACGUUCCCGGGCCUUGUACACACCGCCCGUCACACCAUGGGAGUGGGCUGCAAAAGAAGUAGGUAGUUUAACCUUUCGGGGAGGACGCUUACCACUUUGUGGUUCAUGACUGGGGUGAAGUCGUAACAAGGUAGCGCUAGGGGAACCUGGCGCUGGAUCACCUCCUUA
rnacentral:rRNA from 1 species